UACGAAGGGGGCUAGCGUUGCUCGGAAUUACUGGGCGUAAAGGGCGCGUAGGCGGACAGUUUAGUCGGGGGUGAAAGCCCGGGGCUCAACCUCGGAAUUGCCUUCGAUACUGGCUGUCUUGAGUACGGGAGAGGUGUGUGGAACUCCGAGUGUAGAGGUGAAAUUCGUAGAUAUUCGGAAGAACACCAGUGGCGAAGGCGACUUACUGGACACAUAUUGACGCUGAGGUGCGAAAGCGUGGGGAGCAAACAGG
rnacentral:rRNA from 1 species